AUCUCAUUUAGUUUUUGUGAUACUAGAUAUCCGAUUGACAGCAGAAAAGCCUAAACAUCAUAAAUUUGUUUGACAACCGCAUUGACGGACAUAGAAGAAUCAAAUUUGCAAAUCUUUCACUUCGAUCUAAAGGACAACAAGUAUCAUCUUAAGAAAUUCAAUCAUCCUCCUAUCUACUUAACAUGUAAUGUGCAAUUACAAAAGCUCAAUCCCUAAAUGUGAUGAGAAUAUGGUUGUUCAACCAAUGAUGGGACACUCGAUGGU